rnacentral:lncRNA from 1 species
ACGCUCAAAUAUACAUCAUAGAAUAAUAUUGAUCAUGUUUCAAUCUUGCAUCAAAGAUUGAUAAAACCAAACACUAAAUCAUACUAAAGUAACAAUAACCAAUAGUCUAUGUACAAUAUGCGCCUAAUUGAGCACUUUUUACUAUAUUAACUACAUAUCAUUGAAUGUGCUAGUACAUUUUUUCUCUACUUUGACAUAGACCAAUAGUAGUUAACUUUAUUCUUCAACCAAAAUAUUCAGCGCGGACCCAUGUCGCAACCUAAAUGACCUGCAGGUUAUAUCUUGUUGUUCUGCUCACGUAGUCAACCUAUAAGAUCAACAAAUUCUCUGCAUAAAUAAUCAGUAUUUGUACAUUAGAAAGAACAAAGAUCUUUUGCCUAGCAACAUGCAAGUAUGAACUUAUUUAACUUUAAGACAUGCAAAUAUUCCUGAGAAAUUAAAUCUUACAACACCUUUUAUUACUAGUAUUUCAGAGAAUGAACAUUGGUCAAACAACAUUUUGAAGAUAGAAGGGAAGCUAUUUUUAUAGAAAUACACUUUACUUAUGCAGCAAAAACAUACAAGUCGUGGUCCCAAAAAAAAAAAAACAAUCUAUGAAGGAUGACAUUCAGAUUUAGUACCUGAGUAUGAGCCAACACACAAAUGACACAAGCAUAAAAACGCACUCUGGUUAUCUCUUUUACCUUCAUCAGUCUCAUAUUUGUUGGAGUAUUUCGUAAAUGCUGCCUUCUUGCACGUGCUCCAGUUCUUGUAGCACCUCUUCACUGAGAUGAUGAGCCCAAAGUGUUUGAAUGAAGGCAGGUUUCAUCCUGACUUUCAUCAGGAUCAGGUACGGGGUCUGGAUCGGUCGAUAUGAUGAACGGGAAAAUCCCUUCGUUCUACAAAUGUCUUCAACAGUUUUCUUUUCCCUAUAUCUAGUGUGGGGCAGGGAUAAAAAUGAGAAAGAAGCACAUUAAUUUAUCGAUUUUCACAUGUUCUUCAUUAUAUUUAUUUUUUAUUUCUUACAUGUAAGGUGUGUAUAAUCCUUAAGUUGUACCCUGUUCCUCAAUGAAAGAAAUGAUAAAUCUUAAAAUUCUUGUUCAUACCAGAAUGUGAAUUGAUGACCAAGAAGAGAAAAAGGAACAGCAAAAACUUUACAAGUACCUCAUGUCUCUAAAGAAUAGGGAGAGUUGGUUCCUGACAUUCUCUGUACAUGGAAUGUCAUAUUUUGCCAUACUUGUACACUGUAAUAAAUCUCCAAUACGAAAAUAUAAUAAAUCUCCAGAAAUCAGUGCAAAAAGAAGGAAAAAGGGGAAAAAAACGUACCAGACUUGACGAACCAUGUUGUGCAGACUCUCCAAAAUAGUUGUUGUGCGCAUGUCGGAUCUUCUAAAAGUGCAAUACUUGAUACAGUGACUUAAAAAUACCUGUUCACACUCCUCUCUGCCAGAAAUAAUAAAAAUUGUAAAGUAAUAGUACAAGUAUUUAAGCAAUGUCACUAAAUAACAAAGUCAGAUCGAAAAAUAAAAUGGUGACAGUAAAACGAUACCUUCAAGGAUGUCCAAUUAAAAUCAUACAAGGACUCCGUCUGCUGAAAUAAAUAGAUUUACUUCAUCAGUUCUGCAAAUAUUCUUGGUCUCACCGAGCAGAAAGAUGAUACAAACUCCAAUUGAAAUACAUGCCUGAAAGUAAGCUAGCUCAAAUGUCAGGCAUAUUUUAUUUUUAUUCUUUCAUUCCUGUUGACUUAUUAAUAAUAUCCAUUAGCCUGGUCCUAAUGCAUUCAUUAUUAUAAAAUAAAAUGUCUUAAAGUAAAUGUAAAUCAAAAGUACCAAAAAAAUCUCACAUCAAUUAAUUCAUGAAAAAGAGGAAGUAAUAGCAUAAUACUGUCUGUUACAGAAUUUGACACCAAAAACUCACAAGUUAACGUGCAUCUUGCCAAAAGAUCCAAAUCUGCACACUCCAUUUUGUGAGUAGUGGUUGCACGGUGCACCCUAACAACAAUUGAGAGAACCCAAAAAGAUGAUCUUUCAGUCUGAGCACAGAUAUUAUUAAAGCACAAAAUUCACUAUGUUCAAAUAUUAAUAUGCUGAUGAUUGAAUACAAGAUGCAUCUUGCCAAAAGAUCAAUGGACAACUAGGAAUCUCUUCUCACAAUUAGAACAAGAACACAACAUCAACUUGGCAAUGCAGAUAUCAAUGAAUGCAUAAAUAACGUAAUAAGGAUGACAGUGUGGCAUCAUUAAGUUGGGAAAUAUGUUAUUUACUCAUUGAAGGGUCCAAAUAUAGUCCAUAAUCCAAGUUGACCUAUGCACCAGGUUCAAAACUCAACGGAAACAAAAAAACACUAGGUGAUUCUUCCCAUCUUUCCUAGCCUUGGUGGACAGAGUUACCUGUGGGUGGUGGCAGGUAUCCCGUGGAAUAACACUAGGUGAUUAUUCCCAUCUGUCCUAGCCUUGGUGGAUAGAGUUACCUGGUACAGGUUGCUGGUGAGAGGUGGCGGAUAUCCGUGAAAUUAGUUGAGGUGCAUGAAAGUUGGCCGGGACACCAUGGUCAUAAAGAACAAAAAUAAAAUCUAAGUUAACAUAUUGAACAAACUAGACAAAUUUUGACUCUCUUAACACAAUAAACAAAAAAGAAGCAACUAAUUAAAAACUGGAACUUCAGAUAACAUCACAUGUUUGCAUGACCCCAGUUGAAGUGAAAAAGUGUCACAAAUCAGAACAAUGCCUGGGAGUAGGGACCAAAUCCAGCAGAUCAUCUUGCAUUUUAUUCUAGCUUUAUGAGAAAUGGCGAAGUUUCAACAAUUUUUUCUGCACUUGAACCAGUAAUUAGAAACAAGAAUCCUGAGACAACCACAAUGCAGAGGCCAUUUAAAGCACUUCCCAGGUUUUCUGGUAUUUUUAGGCAUUCAAGAGACGCACAAAUUCUCACUGGAAAAUUAUUGCUCCCUCUGUCCCAUUUAUGUGAAUGUGUUUGGUUGAACAUGGAGUUUAAGAAAGAAAACAAAGAAAACAGACUUUAAAACUUGUGCUCUAAAACAUGUCAUAGACAUUCUUGUGGCUAUUAAAAAUCAUGUCAUUAAAGGGUAAAAUGUAAGGCUUAAAGUUAAAUAGUUAAUAACUUUAGAAAGAUAUCAUUAUAUUAAGGAUAAACUGAAAAGGGAAGUGUUUCUCCCAAGUACAAGAAUCAGCCAAGAAAUAUAAUAUCCAAACUAUAUCAUCAGUUUGGCAAGAAUAGGAACAUUUUAUUACAUUCAUUGACAAGGUAGCCACUCAAGGAUGAAGAAUAAGAUGAACAAGUAUUUAUUACUGGCAAAAAAGACUCUGUAAGGCAUUGUUAUGGGAACAAAAAUGUUAAAAUAAGAAUGUUGAGAUGGAUGUACACAAAUACAAGAUUAGACAAUAUCGUAAUGAUCACCUCCUAUAAAAGGUGAUAACAAUACACAUAGAGAAUAAGACAAGAGGUCACUUGAGAUAAUUUGGUUAGAUCAUAUGCAGACCUACAAAUGGAUGUACGGAUCAGAACGAUCACCUCCGACGGAAGCUGCAAGCAACACACGUAGAGGAUAAUUUGAAAUGUUGCUCAAUAUGAUUUGAUUAGAUCCUAUGUAUACCUACAAAUGCAUCCAUAUAUAGUGUGAAAUCAUGAUGAUUGGAAGUGUUACAAGUGUAUGAGUCGUUAGACCUUUUUUUACAAGGUAAUAUAUAUAUAAAAAAAAGGGGGCGAUCUAGACCUAGAAUCUCAAGGAAGGAAGUACCUACAAUCUUUUGAAUCUAUCAUUUCGCAAUAACGUAGAACACAAAGAUUGACGCACAUUAUUAAAGAUGUGUGUAUUAAUGGAAUAUGUAGAGAACCACUAGUUAUUAAAGAACCUAAAAGAUUGAAUAUUGGAAUGAAAUAGGUCCAAGUAAAGUGAAAUGGCCAGUGAGGAUUCACAUUAGCUGAAUUUAACUAGUUUGUGAUCGACACAUGGUCUUUUAUUGUCGUUUUAAAGCUACAAUUCCUCAUAAGUAAAGUCAUGAUAGAUUUAAGCUUUCACUAAAUUUAGAAUUGCCCUUAGUUUGGAUGGGAGAACACAACAUUAAUUUUAAAAUUACAAUGAAACAAAUUAGCAUUACUUUGGAAACAUGAACCAAGAAAGGUGUUAUAUAACUUAUAUUACUUCUUUAUAAGAGAGAAGAUCCAACUUUUGUAGUCUUCACAGGAAAUUUUCUUGUCUAUUUUACCCCUAAUUGAAGCUCUAGUAACCUUGCAAGUUCUCACCCAUUUUGGUAAAUUUGAAUAAGUAUAUGGGUUUCUUAAAUGCUACAAGGAGCUAAGUUGCUUGGACUCGAGUGAGGGUGUCCGAUACGGGUGCUUAUCUAGAGGUCGAAUUUUUCCUGAUAACUUUAAAAUUCGGAAAUACAAAUCUAGGUACGGAUACAGGUGCAGAGAUUCAGCUAAAAAUAAUUCAAAUAUCUAAAAGUAGAGUUAUAAAACCUAAAUUUGAGAUAUUAUGUGGAAAACUUGAGGAGGAAAUGUUGAUCAAGAGGAGAACUCUAAAAAGAGAUAAAAAGGAAAAAGAGUGACAUAGAAAUUUUUAUAUACAAGGUAUUUCAUUUUCUUCAAUUUUACUUUAGCUUUUGUUUUGGUUACAAAAUUCAUUGAAUGUAACUGAAAUUUCUCCGUUGAUUUUGGUCAAAGGACCCAAAAUCAGUUGACCAGAUCAAGUAUGGAUCCCACAUCCAUGUCGAGUCGAUACCAACAGUGACGAGUCCGAGCAACUUAGACAAGGAGUGAUGAUGUCAUGGAAAAGAUGAUAAUGGCAUCAUAAAAGAUCUAUUUAUUCAACCAAAUUUAAAAUUGAUCCAAAAGUUUGUUGUCUUUCUUUUAUAUGGGAAUGGUUAUUAAGCUUAAUUUCAAAUCAUCUCUUUUUCCUAAGAAUUUUCUAUAGACAAGUAAAAAAGUUAUGGUGACAUUCCGUUUCUACCUUAGUACAUGUUUAAUCAUUAAAUUAUUUUUUUAAUAUAUAGCUAAAAAUAUUUUAAAAAAUAAAUAUAAACUAUAAUUUAACUCUCCAAAUAGUAUAUGUUAGAAUAGGAUUAGGUAUAUAUAAUCCUACUUAGAAUAGGAAUAGUAAUAGAAAUAGGAAUAGUAUUUACUUUUCUACUUGGUAAAGGAUUGUAUUAUAGUGUCUAUAAAUAGGGUCUCUAAGUAAUAAUGUACGUACACAAUUCAAUAAUAUUCUUUUCCUAUAUUUCUCACAUGGUAUCAAGAGUCUUUACGAUCUUGGUAGAGAAUCAAAGAGUUUCCGCUGCCAGCGGGCGGUUAUUACCCAUAUGUGUCGCCCGUCUGACCAAUGAUUAUGUUAGCAAAAGUUGGGUCACCGUGUAUCUUUCAAGUGACUAUUUUUUCAUAUCUAAUUUGUGUAGCGUUGUGCCAUCAUUGUGACUACUUGCUUAUAUUUAAUUUGUAUAGCACCAUGCUAUCUUUUCAGUGACUACUUUUUCAUAUUUAAUUUGUGUAGCACCGUGCCAUCAUUCCAGUGACUAGUUUCUCAUAUCUAAUUUUUGUAGCACCGUGCCAUCUUUCAGGUGGUUACUUUUUCAUAUCUAAUUUGCGUAGCACCGUGCCAUCUUUUCGAUAACUACUUUUUCAUAUUUAAUUUGUGUAGCAUUGUGCCAUUUUUUUGGUGACUACUUUUUUUCAUAUUUGAUUUGCAUAGCACCGUGCAUCUCUCCAGACUACUUAUCAUAUUCUAUUUGCGUAGUACCGUGGAUUUUUCCAAACUACUUUCUCAUGUCUGAGUUGCAUAGCACCAUGUCUUUUCGAUCUUCUCAGAUUUGAUUUGCGUAGCUCUAUUCAUUUUUCCGGUGACUCUUCAAAUCUGAUUUGCGUAGGGUUGCGUCAUCAUUCUGACCCUACCUAUAUAAUUUCUAUUUUCCAGUUGGGUCGUGCCAUCAUUCCGAUCCUACCCAUAUAAUUCUCUUUCUCAGUAAGGUCAUGCCAUCAUUUUGACCAUACCCAUAUAAUUUUAUUUCUCAUAUUAUGACCACUUUCAGCCAUCAAUUCUAACACUCCGACGCAUGAGCAUGUUCCGACCAAUUUUUCUGUGACUUUCUUGUUCCAUAUCUAAUAUCGACUCAUCUAUUGAUUCUGAGACCAUCCAUAUAUUUUAUACCACAAAUUUUGAGCACUUUUCGGCAACUGUUGCACUGUGAAUAAGUCUAUAUGAAGCAACCACCUGAUUUUGUUGCUCAGGGGAAGUCCAGUAGCCUUUGUAUGUCGAUUGCACAGUUCACUCUAUGGUCUGAAAUAGUCUUUCUCGAGCUUGGUUUGGGAUGUUCAACAUAAUAAUUCAGGUUUUUGGAUGACUCAUAGUGGGACUGAUCACUCUGUGUUUUAUCAACAUUCUGCAUCAAAUCCAAUAUUUCAUAAGAAGACCAAGUACAUUGAGAUUGAUUGACAUGAUGACAUCAUGCAUCAAAUCCAAUAUUUCAUGAGAAGACUAAGCACAUUGAGAUUGACUGUCAAUUUUGUGAAGUGGAUUGAUCAACUUGUAGAUAUUUCAACAAGUCCCUCAUUGGUCCUCAUAUUAAUUACAUUUGUAACAAGCGAGGUACAUAUGACUUGUAUGCACCGGCUUGAGGGGGAGUGUUAGAAUAUGAAUAGGUAUAUAGAAUCCUACUUAGAAUAGAAAUAGGAAUCGUAAUAAAAAUAGUAAUAGUAUUUAGUUUCCUAUUUGGUAAAGGAUUGUAUUGUAGUUCUAUAAAUAGGGUCUCUAUGUAAUAAUUUAGAUACACAAUUCAAUAAUAUUUUUUUCUUAUAUUUCUCACUAUAUAAUACUAAAUAACGGCGAACGAGAGUAAUUUUUCAUACUUUUGGAUAUUGAAAUGUUUUAGAAAGAUGGGAAUUGACGUUUUAUAAUUAAGGACAAAAUGGUUAAGUUAAACAUGAAAUAUUAAAGCUCCAUACACGUUUAAGAAAUAACAAUAUAAAUUUCUUUUUAAAAAAAAAGAAGUUAAAUUAAGAAAAACUAAAAACUACAUCAUAUCUUAACAUGCACUUCUGUAAGAGAAGGGAAGACUAAAGUAAGAAAAAAAAUAACUUUAUUAACCUUCCAAUUCCUGUUGUAUGGUUUAAUUUGAAUGAACAUCUACAGAAGUAUUUUCAGUAUCAAGACUUUUAAUUAUUCAAUUUUAAAUGCUAUCUUUAUUUAUAUACUAACUUCAUUGACGUUCUCAAAAAAAAGUUGCAAAUAUAAAUUUUAAUGUAGUUCAGGCCCAGUCUAAGCACAUGCCCAAUGCCACUAUUUUAAACACAACAAAAAUGCCAGAAGAGACCGACAUAGAGAACUCCUGCAUCCUGUCAAACUUGCACCCAAUAAAUAUUUCAAUAACAAGGAGGAAAGGAAGGAAGAAAAUGAAUUCCCAACUGCCUACAUGAGAUUAGAAAGGAGUGCAUCUUAGUUAUCUUUCAUUGUCAAUAUUUUUCCAACAGAACAGGAAAUUGCAAAUUUACACUUAGAAACACUUAAAGGAAUGUUGGUAGAUGACCUGUUAUAAUAUAAACUUACAAGCAAGACCAAAAGAUAAAACAUUAAAUUGCAGUGACGAAUUUCAAUCUAAGGAUUAGAUGGCAAGUUGCUUACAUGUCAGGAGGAAGACCCAUAGCACUGAGGAUAAGAGCUGCCUUUGUUCCACUCCACUCAGGUGGAUGAUGGUAUUUACACAAAGAUCCAAACUUGCAAUCCCCAUACUUCAUGUAAUAAUGACAUUCAGGCAGUCCAGGUCUUCUAUUCCAAACUGUGAUUUACAUUAUGAGGUUUUCUAAUAUAUGAUUUGCUGCCACUUAACCUAAGUGAUUGUUGAAUAUGAGAACUAUUGGUCAGUAAAGUUAGAUGGCCAUUUGUCAUGAAUUUGGAAUUCUUGCAAAACUUUCAUGUAUAAGACUGUAAUGUUCACUGUUAUAAUGCUAGUUGUUCCUGGUUAUGAUUUACAGUACUAUAUGAGGACGGGGAUGUGCAAAUUUGGUGCUUCCUGCAAAUACCACCAUCCAAGAAAGGGAGGGGAAUCUCCAAGCCUUGUGAUACAUAACAUUUAUGGUUACCCGCUGUGACAGGUCUGUCUUCUUUUCAUGUUCCUUCUGUCUCCUUGUAUUGCUAUCUCCAUUCAUUUUGUGUUUUCAAUCCUUUUCCUUGUCUCCUUUGAAAAGUUUGACCAUUAAAUUAUCUUUCUGAUUUGGCUCAUUGAGUUCAUUUCACAGAAUGCAAAGGAAUGUUCGCACUAUAUGAAAACAGGGCAGUGUAAAUUUGGUAUCACCUGUAAAUUUCACCAUCCACUGCCAGCUGGUGUGCAAGUUCCAGCAUCAGCGGCUGGACUUUUUCCUUUACCAGCGGCUCUUCCCCCACCAGCCACUUAUCCAGUACUGCAAUCUCUUUCUGUUGAUUCAGCUGAACAAUACGGAAUGGUUACUGGCAACUUGCCAGUUAUAAGGCCUUCUCUGCUUCCAGUUUCCUAUAUUCCUGACACAUAUGGUCCUAUGCUUUUUCCCCCUGGAAUGGUGCCUGUGCUGGAUUGGACUCCUUAUCUGGUAUUUAUAUUGUAAGUGUUUGUUGCAACUGUUGAUAUAGAUCUUUCCUGAAAUGCAAUGUUAAUCGGCUAAGUAUUAAAUUAUCUGGUGCAGGGUUCAACUAGUCCAGUGCCAUCCCAAACUACUCAGUAUGCAGCUGGAGCAGGUCCAGUUUUAUGGUCAUACACAACUAUCUGCUUCAGCACCUGCCUACGCCGGGCCAUAUGUGUCUCUUACUGCUUCUCUUGCUGCUUCAAGCAGCAUCCAAAAUGAAUUCUGUUGCUAGAUCACACACUACAAGAUAAGAAAUGGAAUAUUAUAGCAGAAGAAAUGAUUUUCAUAUUUUUCUUUGAUUAGUGAUCCUAAACUAUAACAAAAGAAUUUUUUUCAACAGGUAACUAACAAGGCAAAUAAAAAAAUAGCUAAAUCUGUCAAAAUCAAGACAACUAACAGAUCAGAAAAAAUAUGGUAGGUUUCAACUGCAUACUUAUCUAAACCAAACAUUUAGGUAGAAUAGUAAUCACAUUCUAAAAUUAAAUCACAAAGUAGAAGGAAAAUUUUCUUAAGAACAACAUCUUCAGCAUGAAACAUGAAAAAAUGGUAACAACAAAAACAACAAAUCCAUUGUAAUUCCACAAGUAGGGUCAGGAAAGGAGAGUGUAUACACAGACAAACCUAGUGUAAAUACUAGAAAACGCGACAGAAGCUUUACACUUUUCAAAAUGGACUGUACACAAUUUAACUCUUUAAAACCAAACAUUUGAUAUGUGUCGGAAGUAACACUAUACAUAAUAGAGAGAUAAAGACACUGGAAACUUCCACUAAGUAUUGAAUAGACUGACUUUAAAAAGUGAUUGAUUCACUACAAGGAAAUCAUAACCUCACUCUAGACAGCCAAGUGAACAGAUGAAUCAAGGUAAGGUAAAAAGUCUCAGAAGCUCAAAACUAGCACCCCAAUGAUAAAAGUAGAAAUUAAUCCGAUUAUUUAUACUGAAGCACUAACGAGUAGCCCAACUCAACAGUAUAUUCCACAAGACCAAAAUAAAUUUAAAAAAACAGAAGUAUGAGUUUAGUAGCAAUGUAGCAUAAAUUGAACGCAGAACAGAAUGCCAAAAAUUAACUUAUAACAUUCUAGCAGUGGCUUUAAAAGAAAAUGCAAAAUUAAAACAGAGAAAGAGGUCUUUCUCCUUGAGCAGGCAGCAAACAGACGACUCGUGACAGGGCUGAGUCAGUCAAGUGUGCAAUUUUGAGUAUCACGAAAAUCUUGGAAAUAUAUAGAACAAAUAACUGCAAACUUUCGUAUGUCAUAAAAUGGGGAGCUAAUGGAAGAGAUAAAUGUCAUGCAGUAAUCAAUCAUAGCUUAUGCAAAAAAUAAAGAUCAAUCAUACAACAACUACUAUGCCUCAGUUCAAGUUGGGGUCAGCUAUGAAUUUAUAUUGACCAUGUUUCUCUAUUUAAAUUCAUCUCAUGCAUCAACAUUAUACAACUAUGAUCAAUCAUAAUUGGAAGAAAACGAUACAAGUAUAAGCAAUGAAAUUGGAAAAUGGACAGUUGAAAGAUAAUUCACUCACUGCUAAAUCCUUCUAAGGCAAAACAUUGACUAGAUACAGCAAAAUGACGAAUAUUAUGACAAAGCAUAUCUAGCAAAUUAGAUUCCUCCAUAGAGCAUUUGAAAGAUGAGAUGAGAAAUCUCAUCAUGAUCAACAUCAUAAAUAGCAUAUAGAUAUAGAACAUAAUUUUUUUUAGCAGCCACUUAUAUGCUAGGACAACAUAAGAUGUCAUUCAACAUAUUAGAUAUAUGAUACAAUGGAAAAGCACAUAUACUGAUUUGUUAACAAAAAAGGACAGCUCAAUUAGUACAAGGUCAACAAAAAAAGUAAACAAAGUUAUUGUACAAAGGAGAGCCAAAUCCAAAAACACAUCUCUCUCGAAUUUGAUCAUCAAACUAGCACAAAAUCCCAAACUGAUUUCCAUCACACUUAAUGGAACUACCUGGCAAACAUAUUGGCCAGCUCUCUCAGGGCAUUCUCCUCCAGUAGCUCUUCUUGCUCCCAUAGCCUGUUAUCAAUUUAUAUACACGAAAUUUCAAAUCCUUCGUGCUGAUUUCACUAAAGAUCAGAAGUGCAAAAUGUAUAAAAAAGAAAGGAUUUUCUUCUUUCAGACUAUAAUAUUAAAGGAUUAAGAAUAGACAUUUAAAAAUCCGGAAUAGAAAUAGAAAAAAGCUGAUUCUUAAUAGAUCAAAAUCUGAAUUGGAUAGUAACAAAGGAAAUCAAGUGAUCAGGCAUCAUAAUAAACACAAAUACCUCAAAAUGAACCCUAAAAUUACACGAUUUUUUGUGGCUUAUAACAAAAAUUACCAAACUCCGAUUGUGAGGAUGAUUAAACCAACACCGAGAGCCAUAGCCACAGACUCCGUUCCUCAUGUAAUAAAUACAAUCAGGCUCAUAAAGUCGUUCAGGGUACGAUCCUGAGCCACUACCGACCGACAACUGCCACAUAGGUUCCGCAUUACACCCAAUGAGGAAAGAAAUGAUUCAGAUCCACUCCACACUACAUUUCAGGACACUGCCACAUAGGUUCUGCAUUUCCUGAUGGUAUCUAAGCAGUAAUUGAGCAGUUUUUUCACUGAAACACUACUUCUUCCUCCUUGAUGCCAUUGGAGUAUAUAUAUACUCUAAUGGUAUCAAGGAGUAACUCAAUAGUGUUUUACUGAAGCAUUGUUUCUUCCUCUUUGAUACCAUCAGAGUAUACAUAUACUUUGAUGGUAUCGAGCAGUAAACGCACAUUAGUAGUUUACAACAAUGGGUAUGAAAGUAAGGGGUAGUCGUUUGUAAAUAGUUUCUCUUUUUGGGGUAUAAGUGUUCUUUUCCCUUAAUUUUAUCCUUUAAAUGUACUAAUUUUUAAUUUUUGUUCUUAGCAGGCGAAUUUGUGCUACCAAAUGUAUAGAAAUGCAGUGAAACACAAAUACAUGGUAAUUUACUACUUCCACAAUUCAUGCUAUUAACGAGUAAAUAUCUCAAAAGAUCACUUAACUUUGAGAAAUUAUAUAGUAAAGUUAGUGAACUUUGUUUUAUAUCAAUAAGAUCACUCAACUACGGGUGAUCCUAUAUCACCUUUUUUGUUUAUCUUAGCUAUGGAGGGGCUCAACCACAUGAUCAGGAGGGCAAGGGGAAAUGGUUAGUUAAAGGGUUUCCAAGCUCAGGGGCAAGGACACAGAGAAGAUGAAAGGGGAGUCACACAUUUGCUUUAUGCAGACGACUCACUAAUCUUUGGUGAAGCUGAAGUAUCACAGAUUAGACAUAUUAGGGCUAUCCUCACAAUUUUUUAAGGCACUUCUGGACUGCAUGUUAAUUGGCAAAAGAGUUGUCUUUACCCAAUGAACAAAGUUGAUAAUAUGGAGAUAUUAGCAAGUAAUCUUGGAUGCCAGGUAGCUGACUUACCCACAAAGUACCUAGGGAUGCCCCUGGGUGCAAAGAACAAAGAGAUGUAGAGACAGGAGAUUGGCAAGAUGGAAGAGUCAGUAUUUGUCCUAAUCCUUAGGAGGGAGAUUAACACUAGUCAAAUCUGUGUUGGAUUCCCUUCCUUCCUAUAUGAUGAGCCUAUUUCCUAUACCAAAGAGUAUUGUGAAGAGAAUAAAAUUGCUCGGAAAAACUUUUUUGUGGAAUGGACACAAGGAGCGGAAAGGUUACAACCUUGCAAAAUGGGAUGCUAAAACACUUCACAAGAAGCAGGGGGGAUUAGGUAUCAAGAAACUCAGCCUCCAAAACUCUCGUCUUUUGCAAAAAUGGUUAUGGAGGUUCUGUGCUGAGGAUACGCCUUUAUGGAAAAGAAUCAUCAUUGAGAAAUAUCGACUUCAAAGUCACCGGAUCACUGACAAUGUCCUUGGUUGUAGUGUCUGGAAGACUAUUUGAAGACUCUGGCCCCAGUUUCAAAAAAAUAUUCAGCUCAAGGUGGGUAAUGGCGUGAAGAUUGAGUUCUGGAAUAAACUUUGGAUAGGUGAAAGGAGCUUGAAAUCUCUCUUCCCUGAUUUGUUCCUCCGCAGUCAACAGACUAGGGCCACUAUAGCUCAGAUGUGGAGCAUACAAGGUUGGAAUUUCAACUUUUAGAAGGGUCCCUAAAUGAUUGGGAGGUUCAAAGAGUUGCAGAUUUGCUUAUGGUGAUAAAUGAUUUCAAUGGAAAUACCAAUGCACCGGACAGACCAGUGUGGAAACUUCACAGCAAGGGUGCAUUCACUAUGAAGUCAUGCUAUUGGAGGAGAAAUACUGGCCAACUACAGAUUAGGAACUGGCCUUGGAAGCUAAUCUGGAAAGCCAAAGUCCCCUUAAAAGUUUCCUGUUUUGUGUGAUUAGUUUGCAGAAAAGCUUGUUUGACUCAUGAAGUACAGAUUUGCUCAAGAUGUUUUAUGUGUGACCAGGAUGCUGAAAUAAAUAGCCAUCUAUUUCUACACUGUAAAACAACUGCAAAUCUGUGGAACAUGUUCUUGUGUAUACUUGAAGUGAGUUGGGUGGUUCCCAAAACUACUAAAAGUAUGAUGGGCUGCUGGAAAGAGAUUGGAAGAAGAGAUUCAGAAGAGGACUGGUGGGAAUUAAUCCCCGCAAGUAUCUGGUGGACAUUGUGGAAGGAAAGAAAUGCAAUAGGCUUUGAAGACAAAAACAACAACAUUCAAAAAAUCAGAAUGAAUUGCCUUGGUCUUCUAUAUUUUUGGUGUAAACAGGAUAUGGUGGGGGAUAUAGAACUUUUUGUUGAUUUUAUAGGGAAAUUGUAAAGCUCCAUAGACUAGUUCUUAUGGCCUUCUGUAUUUUACCCUAUGGGAUGUAAGUGCUCACUCUCAUCAUUGUUUGGAUGAUGGAAUUUUUUGAAUACACAGUUACCUGUCCCUCAAAUAAAAUAAGAUCACUCAACUUACGACUUUACUUUUACAAAAUCAUUCGUCCAAAUUUAUCAAGGAAAACAAAAACCUUCACUUUGACCUCUUGACGUUUUGGGUUAAGAAAAUAAUACUUUCUUUACUUUUUGAAUGUGAUCAAACUGAUAAUAAACCUUCUUGAUCUUAAGUCAAUAACUAAAAAAGAGUUAUAUUAUUGCAUAUGUUUUUAAAAUGUCAAAAACUAGCUUCAAUUAAUAUGGAUUAUAACACUACUCUUUUAAAUAAUUGAAAUAUCUAUUGCCUAGCAAAAAGAUAACAUGCAAGUGUCAGCUUAUUUAACUUUAAGACGUGCAAAUAUUGCUGAGAAAUUAAAUCUUACAACACCUUUUAUUACUAGUAUUUCAUAGCAUGAACGGUGG